rnacentral:lncRNA from 1 species
UGUUGUCUAGAUGGACAAUAUAGUUGUAGUAGGUUAGUAGUCAUAGUGUGUUGUCUAGAUGGACAGUGUAGUUGUAGUAGGUUAGUAGUCACAGUGUGUUGUCUAUAUGGGCAGUAUAGUUGUAGUAGGUUAGUAUUCACAGUGUGUUGUCUAGAUGGACAGUAUAGUUGUAGUUGUAGUAGGUUAGUAGUCAUAGUGUGUUGUCUAGAUGGACAGUAUAGUUGUAGUUGUAGUAGGUUAGUAGUCAUAGUGUGUUGUCUAGAUGGACAGUAUAGUUGUAGUAGGUUAGUAGUCAUAGUGUGUUGUCUAGAUAAACAGUAUAGUUGUAGUAGGUUAGUAGUCACAGUGUGUUGUCUAGAUAGACAGUAUAGUUGUAGUUGUAGUAGGUUAGUAUUCAUAGUGUGUUGUCUAGAUGGACAUUAUAGUUGUAGUAGGUUAGUAUUCAUAGUGUGUUGUCUAGAUGGACAGUAUAGUUGUAGUAGGUUAGUAGUCAUAGUGUGUUGUGUAGAUGGACAGUAUAGUUGUAGUAGGUUAGUAGUCAUAGUGUGUUGUGUAGAUGGACAGUAUAGUUGUAGUAGGUUAGUAUUCAUAGUGUGUUGUCUAGAUAGACAGUAUAGUUUUAGUUGUAGUAGGUUAGUGUUCAUAGUGUGUUGUCUAGAUGGACAGUAUAGUUGUAGUAGGUUAGUAUUCAUAGUGUGUUGUCUAGAUGGACAGUAUAGUUGUAGUAGGUUAGUAGUCAUAGUGUGUUGUCUAGAUGGACAGUAUAGUUGUAGUAGGUUAGUAGUCACAGUGUGUUGUCUAGAUGGACAGUAUAGUUGUAGUAGGUUAGUAUUCAUAGUGUGUUGUCUAGAUAGACAGUAUAGUUGUAGUUGUAGUAGGUUAGUGUUCACAGUGUGUUGUCUAGAUGGACAGUAUAGUUGUAGUUGUAGUAGGUUGGUAGUCAUAGUGUGUUGUCUAGAUAGACAGUAUAGUUGUAGUAGGUUAGUAGUCAUAAUGUGUUGUCUAGAUGGACAGUAUAGUUGUAGUAGGUUAGUAGUCAUAGUAUGUUUUCUAGAUGGACAGUAUACUUGUAGUAGGUUAGUAUUCACAAUGUGUUGUCUAGAUAGACAGUGUAGUUGUAGUAGGUUAGUAGUCAUAGUGUGUUGUCUAGAUGGACAGUAUAGUUGUAAUAGGUUAGUAGUCAUAAUGUUGUCUAGAUGGACAGUAUAG